GCUUUUUGUGCUGCAUGGUGCUGUAUCCUUCACCAGACAGUCCGUAUGUGGGUAUGAUGUAUUAAAACGAAAGGAAAGGAGAAAGUAUGAAAGUUCUGUUAGGGAGCAGCCCAGAGCAUGUCUGUAGCCCAUGUUUGGGAGCAGCCAGAGGGGUUCAUGUGAGAGGGGCUUAUGUGGCUUCCCAGCCCCCUCGGGCCUGCUCCCUCUGUCUGAGCAUCACGACUGGCUUACCAGGGCAUUCGCUUCCACGUAUGAACCACCUUUCUGACCUCCGUCCAGCUGGACUUGACAUGGAUCCAGAGCCAGAGAGUGAUGUCGGAGGGGAGCAGAAGCUGGGUGGGCAGAGGGACCCCACAGGUAUUAUGCAGGUGCGUUAGUUUCCUGUUGCUGUGGUAGCAAGUUACCACGACCUGGAUAGGCUAAAACAGCACCAAUUUAUCCUGUUACAGUUCUGAAGGCCGGAAGUCCUGAAAUGGGACUGCAGGGCUGUGUUCUUUCUGGAGGCUGUAGGCGAGAAUCAGCUUCCUCACCUUUUCCAGCUUCUAGCGGCCGCUUGCUUCCCUUGGCUUGUGGCCCCAUCCUCCAUCUUCAAAGCCAGCAGUGUGACGUCUUCCAGCCUCUCUGCGUGCCCCUCUAGUUCCAUCGUCACAUCCCCUCUGCAUGUUUGUGACCCUCCGGCCUCCUUUUUCUAAGCACCAUUGUGAAUAUGUUGGGCUCACGUGGAGAUCCAGGAUUGUCUCCCCAUCUCAAGAUCCUUAACUUAAUCACGUGUGCCAAGUCCCAUUUGCCACGAAGGUCACCUGUUCACAGGAUCUGGAGAUGAGGGUGUGGGCAUCGCUGGGGGCCAUACCACAGCCCGUUAGUCUCCGUUUGUCCCCAGAUCUGCUCUCUGGCCUGCUCUGCCCCCGAGAGGCUCAACACGCCGAUGUAUCCUGGCUCCCUGGCCCUCCAGCCUCUGGCUGGGUUUGGCCACAGGUGGCUCCAGCAGGAGGUCUGCGUGGGAGGACAGAAGCUUGGGCCGUGCUCCCCGCCCCGUCUCCUGGCUGGGCUGUGGUGUUGCAGGGGCUGUGCUCUUUGAGCUGGAGUCAGGCAGCCCUUCCAGCUGGUCCCAGAGUGCCCUCCCC
rnacentral:lncRNA from 1 species